GGGCAAUUAGCUCAGGGGUAGAGCGCUUCGUUGACAUCGAAGAGGUCGCUGGUUCGAAUCCAGCAUUGCCCACCA
rnacentral:tRNA from 1 species